rnacentral:rRNA from 1 species
CCUACGGGAGGCAGCAGUGAGGAAUAUUGGUCAAUGGUCGGGAGACUGAACCAGCCAAGCCGCGUGAGGGAUGAAGGUACAGAGUAUCGUAAACCUCUUUUGUCAGGGAACAAAGGCGGGGACGUGUCCCCGGCUGAGUGUACCUGAAGAAAAAGCAUCGGCUAACUCCGUGCCAGCAGCCGCGGUAAUACGGAGGAUGCGAGCGUUAUCCGGGUUUAUUGGGUUUAAGGGGUGCGCAGGCGGUCUGUUAAGUCAGCGGUCAAAGCCCGGGGCUCAACCCCGGCCCGCCGUUGAAACUGGCAGUCUCGAGUUGGAGAGAAGUAUGCGGAAUGCGCGGUGUAGCGGUGAAAUGCAUAGAUAUCGCGCAGAACUCCGAUUGCGAAGGCAGCAUGCCGGCUCCACACUGACGCUGAGGCACGAAAGCGUGGGUAUCGAACAGGAUUAGAUACCCGGGUAGUC